rnacentral:rRNA from 1 species
CAGGCCUAACACAUGCAAGUCGAACGAGACCUUCGGGCCUAGUGGCGCACGGGUGCGUAACGCGUGGGAAUCUGCCCUUCGGUUGGGAAUAACACAGAGAAAUUUGUGCUAAUACCUUAUAAUGUCUUCGGACCAAAGAUUUAUCGCCGAGGGAUGAGCCCGCGUAGGAUUAGCUAGUUGGUGGGGUAAUGGCCUACCAAGGCGACGAUCCUUAGCUGGUCUGAGAGGAUGAUCAGCCACACUGGGACUGAGACACAGCCCAGACUCCUACGGGAGGCAGCAGUGGGGAAUAUUGGACAAUGGGCGAAAGCCUGAUCCAGCAAUGCCGCGUGAGUGAUGAAGGCCUUAGGGUUGUAAAGCUCUUUUACCCGGGAUGAUAAUGACAGUACCGGGAGAAUAAGCUCCGGCUAACUCCGUGCCAGCAGCCGCGGUAAU